rnacentral:lncRNA from 1 species
GUGCUAACAACUCAGUAUUCAUUAUCAUGAUGUUUCUGUUGAAGUUAUGUUAACGGGAUAUGGUGGAAUAGACGGAGGAUGCAGCAAAGGUAAACAAAUUUAUGGGAUUUAGGAAUUCUUGAGGGUGAUGAGAUAGUUGGUGUAAGUCAACCAACAAAUCUGUGCCUGUUAUAAUGUUUGUGUAGAUCAAAUUAGUGAAUGACAUAUAUACAAUUUUAAUGUGUGUUGAUUUUAAAGAUUUUGUUUUAAUUUUAUUUAUAUUUAUAUAUACAUUAAAGAAUACUAUUUAUUAGUAGAUAUAAGUUGACAACGUUUGGAUCAAAAAUGUAGCGAGUAUUUAUUGUGUAUGUAAGAACUGGAUGUGCAGUUGCAAACUGAAUAUUUAAGGUCCGUACUUGAUCUUUGACGAGUACUGCUCGUGUAGGAUUAUUGUUCGCCUAAGAGUAGGUAGAUCGAAAGCUUCAAAUUGUAGUUAAAAUGCUAUAUUAGCCGUCAUUUAAUAAAAAGCAACAAAA